CCUACGGGAGGCAGCAGUGGGGAAUAUUGCGCAAUGGGCGAAAGCCUGACGCAGCGACGCCGCGUGAGCGACGAAGUCCUUCGGGAUGUAAAGCUCUGUCGAGUGGGAAGAUAAUGACGGUACCACUGGAGGAAGCCCCGGCUAACUACGUGCCAGCAGCCGCGGUAAUACGUAGGGGGCGAGCGUUAUCCGGAUUUAUUGGGCAUAAAGAGCGUGUAGGUUGUAUUUUAAGUCAGAUGUUAAAUCCCCCAGCUCAACUGGGGUUCGCAUUUGAUACUGGGAUACUAGAGAUUGGGAGAGGAAAGCGGAACUCACGGUGUAGCGGUGAAAUGCGUAGAUAUCGUGAGGAACACCAGUUGCGAAGGCGGCUUUCUGGACCAAAUCUGACACUCAAGCGCGAAAGCGUGGGGAGCAAACGGGAUUAGAUACCCGAGUAGUC
rnacentral:rRNA from 1 species